GUUUUAAUCCCUCCCAUGAAGCCACCUCAGAUGACAGCAUGGAAAUUCGUUUAAUGUCGUGUUGACAUGUGUCCCGUACGGACGAAACUCAGCGUUUCAUUUAAAUGUGUAUUGUCGUGGGCUUUCUUUGUUUGGUGCAUGUUGGGCUCUGGUUUUGCCAUCCGGCCCGAGAAGAUUGGAAUCGCAUUUUAACGAGACUUCUCUUUGGCGGAACUUGACCGAGUUUAGGGUUCGUCUCUUCGCUUUGAUCUGCAGCGACUUCUGAUCUUCCUCUGUAUAGCUGAAACGGUUUCAGUUAUGUCUCUUCACAUUUAAUCCCUUCUUAAUUCGAAACCUUGAAUGUGAUCUUUUUCUUCGGCGAGUCAGUAUAUCGAAGAGUAUAAAGGGACAACAACAAUGGAGUUUCAACGAUUGACUCAAAUUGUUGUGGAGAGUCUCUUCGUGGCUUCUAGCGGUAAGAGGGCUUUGCGGCGUACCGGGUCGAACUUUUAAAGUUCACUGAGAAGGGAUAUGACAGAGGAGAGAGAUGAAAGUGCUUGAAGUAGCAGUUGGUGACGAUUGGUUGUCUCCACCGCCGAAGAUUGUCUUCGAUAAAAGAAAAAAAUCCAUGGAAGAUUCUACUAUUAAAGCUUUGAGAACAGGAGAGAGACCAUGAUCAAGGAGAGAAUCAGAAACUGAGUCUAUAUCAAGCCUUUAGUCUAACGACCCUCCUUGCAGAUUAUCUGCUUCUGAUAGCUUACAAAGGUACACAUAUCUCCCAACACCAUCUUAUGUACACACAAAAAAAAAUCUCUACUCUGUUUGGUGUUCACUAUCUGAGUCACCCUUUGCUUAUAGUUAAAUGUAUGAUUAAUAAGAAGGCCAGUUUCUGCAUCCCAAGGAUUGGGUGACUCAUCAUCAUCAUUCCCUUACUUUCUUGAACUAAAAUGUUUCAUGAUAUCUCAUACUAAAGACUGUUGCAGAUAGAAUAAGCGGGUCUGUUCGAAUGCACAUAGUGGCUUUGAUAGUUUCUGCCUUUGAUUUAUCUUCCCUUAAGUGUCGUUACUGUGCUUCAGUGUCAACUUAUAUCGUUUGGGGACACUCAGAUCUCUUUAUUUCCAUUCACGUUCUUAGUAAGACCUUAUUGUGUCUAAUUUAUGAGCUUCUUACUGAGACUUUUCUGGACUUUAAGCUACUGAUGAAUCUCAUGUGUAUUUGUGCUUCUAUAAUUGGAUCGGUAUUACAUUGGCCUUUAACGAAUCGUAAUUCACAAUGUGAACAUACAUACGUUUGUGAACGUACCUACAUACGAAUUGUGAAGCAUUCAUAGUCUUCUCUAUUAUUCCAGCCUCCACAAUAAGACUUUCUCAAGUAAUGAAGUGUUACGUUCUUCUUUUUGCAGCUACAUACGUUUGAGUUGCUAUUAUAGUUAAUGUGCACAUUAAGAUAAUGCAGAGAUGAAUGUCUGAAUCUCAGUUUUCAGUUGCAAAAGCUGAGGAAGAUAAUGAUGAAAAGCAUAAACCAUCAACUCAGGCUCUCAGCUAUCAUAAUGUUUCUCAGGUCUUUCUCUGACUUUCUCUUUCUCUAUAUUUCUAAUUGUCCCAAAAAUUUUAGGUAAGAUAGACAAUGCUAUUCAUUCACUAAUUUUCCUGGUGCAUCUUUGAAGCAUCUUCUGAACACAUGUGUCCUUAUAUACAACUACAGUGUUUAUUCUAAUGAUGGUCCUAAGCGAACAUACUUUAUUCUGGGAUUACAAAACUUGAUUUCCUAAAAUAUAUCUUCACUCUAAACUUGUGAAGAGUAUCACUCUAAACAACAUAUUUUAUUUAUCUGCGUAGUACAUGGGAUUUCCGUUACGUCUGGUUUCAAUCGCUCUCUCUCUCUAUGUGAUCUAGCAUAUAUGUAUCGUAGCUGUAAUGUAUUGUAUGAUCUCUCAAAUAUUUCUGUAGUAAUGGACUUCACAUAUGGAAAAUAAUGCUGUUAUUAGUUGAGAACAUGUUAGUGUAAAUUUGGUUUCACCUGUUGACUUCAUUAACUGGUCUAACUAUUUUUAUUUGGUUUCAGUCUCAAUCCGUUCAUUCAUAGCAGGAAUUCAGAGUAGUUAUACCAAGACCUAAGCUUUUACCAGGCUUGCAUGUUCGAAGCACCUAUGGUUACAGCCAUAAAUGGUUCUUCCUCGAAACAGCUCUGUGGUAACAAUGCAGCCAGUAUCCGCAAUGUGUGAUUGGCAAGUUUGGGCAUACCUGCAAAUUUGUUCUUUCCAUGAGCUCUUAUUCUUCUUCCUUAAGCUACAGCCCGAUGGUUUCUUCAGUCAUUGACAUGCCCCUCACACCUUACCCUCUUGAGUCCUCAUUGCUCAGCACAUUAGCACCCUCUUGAGUCCUCAUUGCUCAGCACAUUAGCUCCAUCAUCAUCAUCCUCAGAUGAAAACGCACAGAGCUUCACUCUUCGAGCUCCAAGAAAACUCAAAACCACAACACAAGUGGUGGCUCUGAACCGUUGCUGCUGAAGUAUCUCCGUCUUCUUCUUUGACAACCAGCCUGAGCCAUUCUGAUCCUGCUGAGACCAAAAAGAAUACCCAGUUAGCAUUGAGUUUAAGACUUAGAAGCCAAAGAUACAAAGCUCAAAGGGGAGAACCUCACUCUACUUCUUCUAUUGUUCCUCUAUCGCUCUUUUCUUUUUAUCAAACUUGCAUGAACUGAGGACAUGAAAGAUGUCUAUAAACUAUAAACAUGUUUGGGACCAAGUAAGAUAGAUUGAACUAUAAUGAGUUUUUUUUAAUAUAUGAAAA